UACGAAGGGGGCUAGCGUUGUUCGGAUUUACUGGGCGUAAAGCGCACGUAGGCGGAUCGUUAAGUCGGGGGUGAAAUCCUGGAGCUCAACUCCAGAACUGCCUUCGAUACUGGCGACUCAUGAGUCCGGAAGAGGUGAGUGGAACUCCUAGUGUAGAGGUGGAAUUCGUAGAUAUUAGGAAGAACACCAGUGGCGAAGGCGGCUCACUGGUCCGGUACUGACGCUGAGGUGCGAAAGCGUGGGGAGCAAACAGG
rnacentral:rRNA from 1 species